CUAUUUUGAAAAAUGUGUAAAAAUCCAUGAUCUUGUCUGAUCUCAGGAGCUAAGCAGAGUUGGGCCUGGUUAAUAUUUGGAUGGGAAACCGCUAGGAUUACCAGAUGUCACAGUGGG
rnacentral:rRNA from 1 species